rnacentral:rRNA from 1 species
GCAGCCGCGGUAAUACGAAGGGUGCAAGCGUUGUUCGGAUUUACUGGGCGUAAAGCGUCCGUAGGUGGUUUGUUAAGUCAGGGGUGAAAUCCCAGGGCCCAACCCUGGAACUGCCUUUGAUACUGGCAAGCUGGAGCGUGAUAGAGGAAGAUGGAAUAUCUGGUGUAGGGGUGAAAUCCGUAGAUAUCAGAUGGAACACCAAUGGCGAAGGCAGUCUUCUGGAUCAUUGCUGACACUGAGGGACGAAAGCGUGGGUAGCAAACAGAAUUAGAUACCCC